GUUUGCUUCGGCAUCACCUAUACUAAAAUUGGAGCGAUAUAGUGUACAUUAACAUGACCCCGUGCAAGUAUGACCCACAAAUUUGUGAAGCCUUCUUUAUUUUU